rnacentral:rRNA from 1 species
UACCCGAUGGCAUAAUAGAACCGCAUGGUUUGAUUAUUAAAGAAUUUCGGUUAUCGAUGGGGAUGCGUUCCAUUAGGCAGUUGUGGGGUAACGGCCCACCAAACCUUCGAUGGAUAGGGGUUCUGAGAGGAAGGUCCCCCACAUUGGAACUGAGACACGGUCCAAACUCCUACGGGAGGCAACAUG